GGCGCUUAUCAACUUGUGACAAACUCACCUAGAGGUCUAUUAUAUACACAGUGUGCGUGCGGCUGCUCGCGGAAUGAGGCGAAGGGAUCCGAGCUUGUUUUCCAGGCAGCUGCGAAAAUAACAACAAAACGUCGCCGCUGUUAAGCCAACAAAGGGACACGGCGUCACAAAUUGACGACGCGCUGACGUCACACGGACUGUACAGGAACCCACGAAAAACCAAAAAUAUCCGUUCCGAAUUAAAGCCUUCUCGACGUGACGAAACACUUCCCGCUUCCGUAACACGUUUCGAAUAUUUUGACAUAUUCGGACACUAAUUUAGAGUCAAUUUAAGAAAGACGUCAACCUUUAAUUUCACAAUUUACACCCAACCCAACAAGUUUUUUUUUUUAAGAAAUUGGGUGCUUUUCACUUGUUCCUGCCAUGAAACUGCAGCAUUUCCACAAUACAGAGAACAUUUUUAAAUUACGAACCGUUUGUUAGCUUCUACAGAAAGAAAUGUUUGUCUGGGACUCCCCGUGCGCCCGAUAUUAUUACCCUGUAACAUGGGUGAGAUAAAUUGAGCUCAAGGGUUACCUUGUAAUUUUGAAAUGAACCGACGAUUCAGGGAUCCUCAUGCUGGACGGCUGUCCGUUUGGGUAGCGACGGAGGCGGCUGACACCCAGCAAGCAGCGAGUUUCACGAGCUCCCAGCUCCGUCACCUGCUCCAUAUUAGUACGCUGCUUGGCCCCAGUUGAGUCGCAGCGGACAGGUGAUGCAGCAUCUCGACUAAAGAGUACUAAGCAACGGUGUGAUAAAGUAGCUUGUAGUAUUCUCAAGAAGCAGGCUUGUAUUUCUUUUUACUCACUUUGUUUUGUGUGAACACACAAGAGCAUGUCAUCCAGAUUCCACAUUCUUCGUCGUCUCUGAUCCAAUACAAUUCCUCCUUUUACAUUGUGACCUUGAACUACGUUCUGUUCGAAAAACGUAGAUGGAAGCAAAAAAGUCAGAAAUGACAAGUUGUUACUCUAAAAGUGUUGUAUUUGAGUGAAUCUUAUGUCAUGUUCAAGCUUCGUGUUUUUAAACAAUGGUUGAUUAAAGUAGAACACAUUUUCAUCAGGA